rnacentral:rRNA from 1 species
ACUCCUGCGGGAGGCAGCAGUGGGGAAUAUUGCACAAUGGGCGCAAGCCUGAUGCAGCCAUGCCGCGUGUAUGAAGAAGGCCUUCGGGUUGUAAAGUACUUUCAGCGGGGAGGAAGGCAAUACGGUUAAUAACCGUGUUGAUUGACGUUACCCGCAGAAGAAGCACCGGCUAACUCCGUGCCAGCAGCCGCGGUAAUACGGAGGGUGCAAGCGUUAAUCGGAAUUACUGGGCGUAAAGCGCACGCAGGCGGUCUGUCAAGUCGGAUGUGAAAUCCCCGGGCUCAACCUGGGAACUGCAUUCGAAACUGGCAGGCUUGAGUCUUGUAGAGGGGGGUAGAAUUCCAGGUGUAGCGGUGAAAUGCGUAGAGAUCUGGAGGAAUACCGGUGGCGAAGGCGGCCCCCUGGACAAAGACUGACGCUCAGGUGCGAAAGCGUGGGGAGCAAACAGGAUUAGAUACCCCUGUAGUCCCAUGA